AAGACACCGCCCUUUCACGGCGGUAACACGGGUUCGAAUCCCGUAGGGGUCA
rnacentral:tRNA from 1 species